CUGCACAGUCUUUGAACCUAUAUUGUAUUCAACUAAUUGCUCUAUAGGCCAAGCAACUGUUACCUUGUUAUAACUGGGACUUUUCAGCAAUCUCACUGAACGGCUCUUUUAAAAUGAAGGUACAUUC
rnacentral:snoRNA from 1 species